rnacentral:tRNA from 1 species
GAUCCCGUAGCUCAGCAGGGAGAGCGCCACCUUGACAGGGUGGAGGCCGCUGGUUCGAACCCAGUCGGGAUCA